GCCAAUGUUGCAUAAUGGUUUGGGUGUUGGACUCCAGCUCUGAAGACCUGAGUUCGAUUCUCACCUCAGCCA